UUCGAAAAUUUGAUGGAAUCUAGAGUUUCAACAACAUCUUAGUAAUUCCAAUUGGUAUGAUGUUAAGUUCUCUUACUAUUGUUGUUAUGGUUUUGUUUUUAAUUGAAAUAGAAUAGUUAUUGCUAUAAAAAUGGAUUUAUUUUUAUUUUUGUGUUUUUCUUUGUACUUCAAAUGAUUAACUGGUACCUUGGUUUUUUGGCAGUCAUAUCUUUCCAUAUCAGGUUAGAAAAUGUGAUGGAAUCUAGCUUCUGGCUAUCAAAUGAGCUUGUAUUUUUCUUUGUUAUAUUAUUAUUAUUAUUAUUAUUUAUUGGUGUUUUUAUACUGUAUUGGAGGUCCCUGAAGUGUGGAAAACAUCUCUACCGUACACAUGGCACUUCUACAAUAUUGUGAUCAGGGCCGUUUACUUGGCGGGCCACCACGUGGAUGGACCAUAUACCAGAAAACAAUAAGAUUUAUUUGUUGUAGGUAACUACUCUGCAGCCUGCAACUCUGUCUAGAAUUCAAGCCUGUGGCCUGAUUCACUAAAACAAGAAAAGGCAAAAGCCCCAUAGGACUCGAACUUAAAUUGACCUCAUUUCAUACUAUUUAACACUAUGUAAGAUUCCCAAAAAGUAUGAAUAUUUAGUAUUUUUUUCCAGGACUAUUUGGAUUAGUACCUUGGAUUUUCCAUUCUAAUUUCUAACUUCAUGAAUCUGGUCUUCUGUUGCAGGUUUCGAGGAAGAAACCAUAGCACUUGGUUAAUUAGCUUUGAGUUUUCAUUUUCUUUUAUGUAGUUGAACUGAUAUGUUUGCUAUGUAAUAUCAUCAUUGUCUUUAGCCAUUCAAACCUGAGGACACUGACUAUAUCACCAUCAUUUGACUUUGACUUGUAGAAUACAAACAAAUGACCAUAUCGCUUGGGACUAGGAGUGAUGAAGUGCAAGUGCGGUUGAUUGAUAAACAACCGGAUGGCAGUAGUGGAGGUGAUUCGAGUGGGAACCAUGGUCUUGAAACACAACUCAAGCUUUAUGGUACGGAGGCCAAAGAACUCAAGGCCUCAACUGCAGAAAUUCAAAGAACAUACCUGUUGGAAGAUGAAACAGAGAAGAAAAGAAGGAAAAGUUAAAAAUAAAAAAUAAAAAAUUAAACAGUAAGUUGUCUACUCCCUCUCUUUAGUUGUGGUUUUUUUUCUUUUUUUCGUGGAUUAUUUCUCCUUUUCUCAAAUUCAUCCUUACUGUUAUGGGUUUGUAAGCCAUGAAGUCUUUAUCCGUAUUAGCUUAGAUGAGUUGAUCAAUCAGGACAUUUACUAGCAAUGGUAAGAGACACAAUUAUUAUAAAUAUU